GCCAUUUUGAGGUAUUUUUUUUUGGGUUCAUAAGUUCUUGGGAUCAGGUUCUUGAUUGUUUCUUUGAAUCGCUUUGAAUAUAUUUACAACAUUUUUUUUUCAUAAAAAUAUGUCUAGUAGAUCUUGAGAAAAAAAAUCUUCACAAAAAAUACUAGUGGUAUUUUUAUCUUUGUUCCUAGAGCAGCUACAAGGUUGAAAUUUGGGGACGCCACCUUAUACUCGACUGUGGUGCCAUCUGUUGCUGUGUGGAGUUGAGUUGAGCGACAUGCUGUCGCAGUCUCACUCGGAACAACCACUCUUGGAUUUAUUUGUAUUCAAAGAAAAGCUGGUAAACAUGUGUGUUGUGUAUUGUGAAUCUAGGUAUGCUUGAAAUUUGAAUAUUGCCUGGAAACGUUAUGUGCCCUAUAUUUUUUUUGAAUGGAAUGCAAACAUUAUUAGGCUCUAGAACAGAA